UAGUGAGGAAAUCUAACAAAACAUAAAUUCAAUGGUUAGUUACGGACCAUGAGAAACUAACUGCAGACUACGUACAUUCAUAUUCAAACAAAGUUAAAUCAAUUUGCGAACAUUCAGUAUAUCAAUCGAUACCAAUGACUCCAUCUAUGCUAUGUUCGUUCCAAGCAAGAAUCCGCAGUAGGAGAUGGUAAACUGUGAAAUCGAAGCUGCGAUCAUCGGAAGUUAGACGAUGUACUAAAUUGCUAGACCACCGAAGUCAUCAAAUGAAAGAUAUAAAUAACGUUGGUUGCUAAUUUGUUAGAUCAACGCAAUCAAAUCAUCAAAACUCGCCGUUUCGGAUGCAACAUUUCCUCAUUCCCUCGGAAUCAGCCUGGAGCGACACACGCUCAUAAUCAAUUAACAUGUAUGAAAUAUAAAACAAGCUCAUUGUUAAAUGUUUAUUCAAACAUAAACACAUCUAUGUGCUCUAUGUGUCUCUAUGUGUGAUCAUUUGCUUAUGUGACGGCCUUAACAUGGCACGGAAUUUGAUCAUUUUGGUAAUCUCAAUUAUGGUUUUCGCAAGCGGAGUCACUGGGUAUGUACUACCUGCUAUCGCUGUUGCAAAUACAGAAAUCUCAACACAAGACGUAUCAACAUCAACUCCCCUGAAUGACAUCUCAACAGAAAAAGAAUCAAAAAUAUCGGACGAUUAUAGAAAAUAUAGUUAUAUAAUUACGACAUAUUUAUAAUUAAAAUUAUAUUAUAGUUAUCUACUCCAAAAUUUAAAAAUAAACGUAAAUUAUGUGACGAAAUAGGUAUUAAGUACCAUUAAUGACAAACAGUGAUAUUUGAAAUACUUGCAAUUACCCGCGGCUUCGUCUGUAUAAACUUUUAUCCUCUAUUUAACUCGUUUUAAAUUAUUUUUAAUUUGAUUAAAGUUAAUCUAUGUCCAUCGUCGUUAUACAACCAAACUUUAUGUCAAAUUUCAAUAAGAUUCGUUCAGCUGCAAAAUCCUGAAAAAGUACCUAACAAACAGACAGUCAUAUUCACAUUUAUAAUAUUAGUAUAUAUUAAUAUUAGGACAUAUACUACAGUAUUUCAUCAUAAUUAUAUUAUUGACAAAAAUAAACUUAAUUUGCAUUUAUUAUAAAGUGUUAUUGUGAUAUAUUAAAUAUAAAAUCAUGUGUAAGUGUUUAUAAUUUAAUGCAGGCAACUGUACAAACACAUAUUAUGCAGUGAUAUACUAUCAUAUCAUCCCGACGUCCUGUUUCACCAAUAUAAUAUAAUAGUCUUCUCAAAUAGUGACUUAAAAUGGUGUUUUUGUAAAUACAGUUCAUUUCGUAGUAGUCAUAAUUCCCUCUACAUACUAUCAAACAUAAACUCACAAAACUCACACCUUUCUUUUUAAUGUAAAUAUAGACUUUGACCCAUAUUUAUUGGGGAAAAUACAAUUUUUAAUAGUUAUAUCUCUAAGUAACAUUUUCUAUCGUGUGCGUAUAUAUGUGUGUAGUAUGUAUGACUCGUGUAAAUAAAGUUAUUUCCAUGGCGGACAGAUCUUAUAUACAUAAGUAAGCAAAUAGUCAAUUGCUGAGGCCACGAGUACCUAAGUAUAGGGUCAUAACACGUGUGUUAGGACCCUAUACUUAGGUACAGGUAUGUAAAGAUAUAUUAUAGAGUCAUUAAUAUUUUAUUAUAGAUGUUCUAUGGCCAUAAUAUUAAGAGUUCCUGGUCACAUAGGUCGCUUCCGCUGUCUGUUAACUUAGAUCUUUUAAACUACACAAAGGAUUUUAAUGCAGUUUUUAGGAAACAACAAACAGACCGACAGACAUAUAUUUGAAUUUAUAACAUUCAAUAUGGAUUUACCUCAUCAUAUGUAUAGGUAUUAUUUAACUUACACUGAUACAAAGUAUUUUAUUAAUAGCAUAAUUGAACAUUGAUUACAAAUAACUAUUUAUAUUUCGAAAUAUGUACAUUGAAUAGAUUAAACCUGUUUUAUUAUCGGUUCUAAUUAAGUUGUAUUAAGAAUAAUGUUAUACCAAGUAUUUUAAUCGAAAGGUAUAAUUUGUGGUAAGUAUUGUGAUAUCACUGGCUUCAUGUGAACUCUAUAUCUGUAUGUUUAAUUCAUGUUUGACCACAAGUAUGAAACGGUUUUAAUUUCAGUAUUGGUUAUUGUGGUAUUUGACUGCACCAAGUAAAAAAGAGUCAUUACACUAUCAAAUAUGUAUAAUUGUUGGAUCAAUGUAUAGAACUUAUUAGAACUGAUCUAUUUAGCCGAUAAAAAUGUGUGUACAA